CACCUAACAAGAUGAGCAUGCUCUGAGGGAGCAGUCUGAGGGAGGCGACUCUCACUUGCUCCAAAGGCCCCAGGGAAGCGAGUCUCUGUGGCUGUCCAGGUCACCUGAUCCCAGGUGACCCCCGUGUCAAGGGCCCUUCCUCAAUCUGACCACAGAUACAUGUCCUCGUCUGCUCAUCCCGGGUUUGCUGUGCGCCAGCCUGGCCGGCUGGAAUGGGAAUACUUACUUCGGACGAGGACCUUGGCGAAGGAGGAGGCCUGGCCGUAUGCAUUCUUCACCUUCACUGUGUAGGAUCGAUGUCCUGUCCACAGUCGUGUCUCUGAAGUCCAAGUUGGCUGAGAUGGAGGGACUGGCGUACUGGAAAGAACCCAGGCAUCGGAAUCACGCGGGACUGUCUGCCAAAUACCAAUCCCCAGGCCCCACUCCAGAUUAAGACGUCCUUAAUCUGCCUCCUGGGAGGCAAGAGGAGGGUCCCUCCCGCGAAUCAGUGUUUUCAUAAGCACCCCAGGUUCUUCCAAAGGUGAGGCCGACUCAGAAAUCCUGCUCUGGCUUCGGUGCUGGUGGGGUCUGGGGGUCAUGGGUCUCUCUAGAGCUCACAGUCUCACCUCCUGAUCUCCAGCGUCAGCAGCCCAUAGUUGUUGGUGA